rnacentral:lncRNA from 1 species
UUCAAAAACGAAACAAUGUCUCAGUUUAUGCCUUUAAAUAUUUUAUGUCAAUUUCUAAAUAUAUAAACAAAUAAAAAACCCAACCAACUCUGAAAAAGAAAUCUCUCUUUGCAGGGAUUUGCCUACACUUACAAAAUCAUGGUGAUAUGAAAAGCUACUAACAAUCCAAUUUUACUCACCAAUCAGACAGCCUCAGUGGAGAUUUCCCAUGCCUCUGAGUGAUGCUAAACAAACAACAAAGAUUCAGACAAAGAAAUGUCUGUCUAGAGAGACAUGUUAUUUUAAUUUUAUGCCUAGGGAUGGAAAGGAAAUAGGGGAAAGAUUUUGUGUUCUCCUUACCUGAUCUUUAAGCCUGGGCAAAGGGCUUCUGUAUCCACACAGAUUCUUUCAUGGGAGAGCAUUUGAAACACUUUGUACACAUAGUAUUUGUCUAUGCCCCACUAAAAGUUGCCAGUGUUUCCCUGAGAAUGUUUAGGUGAGCACCUCCAGUUGUGCAUUAGAAAGCACUGUGCUGUGUCUGUCUGUAGGUAUAACGAGCAGCAUUUAACCACUCCCCGUGCAGGGUCUACAGCAGCUGUCAGAGACUGCCAAGUGCCUCAAGAGCAGCCUGCCAAGAGGCUGCCUGCUAAGCAACCCAGAAAGGGGAUAGCUGGGAAUAUGAGGGCAAAGGUAAUUUGGUUGAGAGCAAUUGUGCUGUGAUAAUACGCAUUAUUUUUAGAUUGAGAAAAAGAGGCAAGAUCAAUUCAAAUGAACUCUAUGCAAGAAGACUCCAAUCAGCUCUGGGAAAUGGAAGCACAGCAACCAGUAUCACUGUGUUCUGUUCAAGCAAAACUGUUCCAAUAGAAGGCAGACCAAUUGGAAAGGGUCCAGAGAAAAGCAGAGAAAAUGGUCAGUUGUCCUGGGAAAAAAGAAAAGCCACAAGAAAGAGAGAUUGAAGUUUAAUUUAGUUUAAUUCAGUUUAAAGAACAGAAGGACAACUAAAUACAUGAAAACUAUAAUCUGCACAAGUUACCUAUAGGGAGGUAAGGAGGAAUUUUUUUAGUUUUAUCUGUAGUGGAUAAAGUGAUGGGUUCAAACUAUGACACUGAAGGUUAUGCUAAGUAUUAAGGACGUCUUAUUAACAGUAAAGACAAUUAGAUCCUUUUUUGUGUAUGAGGUACUAUUGAUUCUCUUUUGGAGCCUCAAAAUCCACAAGAUGAAGUCUUGAGGUCUUUUCCAGUCUCCUUUUCUUUAAGUCUAUGGUUCAUCCUGUUGUAUAAUUUAGAUGCCCCAUCUUACCUCUCUACAAAAACUACGUUUAUCAAAGUUUUCAUGCUAAAUUAUACAAACCCAGACUGUUAUUUCAAUACAGUGACUCUGAACCAAUGAAACCACUAUGGGGCUUAACACAGCCCAGACUGG